AUAAGGCCUGUGCACUAGUUUUGUGACGUCAUCAUGAUGGGUCCACAUGAAAAUGUCAACAUUCUCGAAAUUACAAAAAAGCGACAAGUAAUCACCAUUAAUAAUGAAAAUUUAUUUCAGACAUCGUUCGUUAGGCUGCAUUGUACCGUUAAAUGUAUAUUUGCACAAAAAUUUGAUAAAAAAACAGACAUAACCUAGAAUGCCACUUUUAAGAAACAGAUAGUUAUUAAAGAUUUCUUUUAAACAUGGAUUGUUGCCUUAGAUAGUGUUGUUUAAACGCUCGGCCAUUGGGGUCUUAAAAAACUGGUCAUUAUGCUUUUUGCAAUAAUUUUUGAGUAAAAUAUUGCAAAUUGGCCGUAAUAUAAAAUCAACAAUUUUGCCUGGGGAAUGUUUGGAACAUUGAUGACCCAAAAACAAAUUGUUGACUGAUUCGCCUAUGGAUUUUGCUGCUAAAGUUUUUAUUGUAAGGCGUUGAUCAAUUUCGUCUAAAAAAAUUUUUUCCAAGUCUGUAUCUAUGCACUUCAAGACAGUCAAAUAUACAAACGCACAGCAUGUCACCACAUCUGUAGUAGGGUAACACAAGCCCCCUCUGCUACUGGCAGUUAUUACACUGCUUCCAGAAAGGAGAUCAUCAGUUACUAAAAACACCUUACAAUAACUACACUUUAACUUUUUGUUUAUAGCAUAUGAGGCAUAUCCUACAACAUACACCAAAACUGGCCAUGUAUUGUCAUCAAUAUCGUUUAAAUCAUCAUCGCUCACAAGGCAAUUGGUGAUCAAUGUAACAGAUACAAGCGGAUCUUCAUUGGUAUCCCUAAAAACUUCAUCAGGUGGAUCCUCAGGCGUUAUUUGAAAUUCGCCUUUGUUUUCAGAUUCGAAAACUUGACGAAUAGAAAUUUUGUAUUGCCCCCCUGCCAUUUGCCGAUAUUUUCCAAACCUUUCUUCCAGUUUAUCAGUCUGGAUUUUUCCGCAAAGGAAGAAUGUCAAAUUUUUGUCAGUCAGGCAAUAAUUGGAUAAUUUAAUUAAUCCAUCAGUGGUGGUUUCUAGCGCCCACUGUGUCUCAGGUGUUAAUUUUGCUGAAGUGUUCAUUUUUUUCCAUCUCUGCAACCAUUCUAGAAAUUGUUGUAAAUAUUCUAAAAUGUG